GGAAUAUUGGACAAUGGGCGCAAGCCUGAUCCAGCCAUGCCGCGUGAGUGAUGAAGGCCCUAGGGUUGUAAAGCUCUUUUGUCCGGGACGAUAAUGACGGUACCGGAAGAAUAAGCCCCGGCUAACUUCGUGCCAGCAGCCGCGGUAAUACGAAGGGGGCUAGCGUUGCUCGGAAUCACUGGGCGUAAAGGGCGCGUAGGCGGACGUUUAAGUCAGGGGUGAAAUCCCGGGGCUCAACCUCGGAAUUGCCUUUGAUACUGGAUGUCUCGAGACCGGAAGAGGUAAGUGGAACUGCGAGUGUAGAGGUGAAAUUCGUAGAUAUUCGCAAGAACACCAGUGGCGAAGGCGGCUUACUGGUCCGGUUCUGACGCUGAGGCGCGAAAGCGUGGGGAGCAAA
rnacentral:rRNA from 1 species